rnacentral:piRNA from 1 species
UGGCCGUCCCACUCUGACAUCUCAGAUUC